rnacentral:rRNA from 1 species
UACGUAGGGUGCGAGCGUUGUCCGGAAUUACUGGGCGUAAAGAGCUCGUAGGCGGUUCGGUAAGUCGGGUGUGAAACCUCCAGGCUCAACCUGGAGACGCCACCCGAUACUGCUGUGACUAGAGUCCGGUAGGGGAGCGUGGAAUUCCUGGUGUAGCGGUGAAAUGCGCAGAUAUCAGGAGGAACACCUAUUGCGAAGGCAGCUCGCUGGGACGUAACUGACGCUGAGACGCGAAAGCGUGGGGAGCAAACAGG